UUAGCUCCGCUACUAAGAGAUGUGCCAUCUGGGCCUCGGUUUACUCUUCUGCAAAUGACGGCCCCCUCCAGCACCCGCACCAGAGCCCCGGCUGCCUGAGGACGAGGAGAGCGGGGCUGAGGCGGUACGUCUGUGGCGAGAGGGAAGAGAGAGCAGCGGCCCAGUCCUGGCCCAGGGCACCGGGCACCGAGGAACGCAGUGGAGGGGCAGUCCGGUGGGUCUCAGCUAAAGGUGAAGGAAAGGCGGGGCCUGGGGUCCGGCAGGAGGGCUCAGCGCUCCCCUCACCGAAUGUAGCCGACUUGAGGCCGGUGCAGUAGCUGCCAGCGGUAGGAGGUCUUGUCCCGCCAGCCCACGUUCCGGGGGUCAGUCCACAGCAGCCGCACCUGAUCAGGGGUGUGGCCAGUAUGCCACAGGGCAUUCCGGAGAUGUUCACCUGGGCCAGACGCGGAUGUCACUGCCUGGAGGGGAUCGGUGAGGACAGUGCGUUAGCCACAGGCCCCGGACCACAGGCUGAAGCGGCCGCUGUCCUGAUAGCUGAAGAGGAAGCCUGCGUAGUCGUCAUCUGUGACCGUGUUCACGUGGAAGGUGCCUUCGAAGUCCACACCGUUGAAGGCUGUGUAUCCUGGGGGUGGGUGGGGUCAAGGUCAGGGCCGGCAGAGCUACCUACCGGUGGCCCACUGUGGGCCAGGGGUGGGAUGGGACGCCAGCUGUACAUGUGGCCAGCUCAGCCCUCCACCGUCCGCCCCUGUGGGAUUUCUCCAUUUGGAACUUAUUGAGCUGGGUGUCCCUUACAUACCAACGGCCAGGCCGGGGUCACUGUUCAUGGUCUGAACGAUUUCCAUGCCCUGGUGGUGGCAGGAAGGAAGGAAGCCCUGAUCCAGUGCUCUGAGCGCUCCCCCCGCCCCUGCCAGCCCCCACCUGGCAGUCUGGUCUGACAGCACCUGCCCAACCCGGUGCCCUAGUACCUGGUUGAGCACCACCCAGUUUGGGUCAAUCUGGGCAUCACCCUCAGGAUCCAGGACAACCGUCUGAUAGGCCCGGAAAUCCGUGAGGGUCACCUCCGCGCUUUCGGGACACACGUCCAGGGGGUCAACCACCGCAUCAUUGUCAAAGUCAUCCUCACACACGUCACCAACGCCAUUGCCUGCACAGAGUGAGGCCAGGCACUUGGGAAGGCCUGGCCGUGGCCCCGAGGCCGCGCUGCCACCCCUCCCUCCCUGGGCAGGGCCCACACCGGGCCAACGUUCUGUGGGGCCCCAGCCUUACCAUCUGAGUCCUUCUGAUUGGGAUUGGGAACCAGGCGACAGUUGUCGGGACCGGGAGGCACAUAAUCUGGGAUCCCGUCGUUGUCAUCGUCCCCGUCACACUCGUCUCCAAGGCCGUCGUUGUCGGAGUCCAGCUGGGAGCUGUUUGGCAGCUGUGGGCAGUUGUCCUUGGUGUCCUGAUGUCCAUCCCCGUCGCUGCCCAGAACAGGCACCAGAUAAAGGCUCUAAAAGUA